GUUAAGGAAAAGAACAAAGUUCAGGUAAGUAACUGACCCUGACCCUGGCCGUACCUAACAAGAAAAGCCACGGCCUAACUACCGUGCCCAGCAGCCGCGGGUAAUUACGUAAGGUGGCCAAGCGUUUGCCCGAGAUUUAUUGGGGCGUAAAGCGCUCGCAGGCGGGUCUUUUUAAGUCUGAUGUGAAAAGCCCACGGCUUAACCGGGAGGGUCAUUGGAAACUGGAGGACUUGAGUGCAGAAGAGGAGAGUGGAAUUCCAUUGUAGCGGUGAAAAUGCGUAGAGAUAUGGAGGGAACACCCAGGGGCAAAGGCGACUCUCUGGUCUGUAAACUGACGCUGAGGAGCGAAAAGCGUGGGUAGCGAACAGGAUUAGAUACCCCGGGUAGUCCACGCCGUAAACGAUGAGUGCUAGGUGUUAGGGGGUUUCCGCCCCUUAGUGCUGAAGUUAACGCAUUAAGCACUCCGCCUGGGGAGUACGGCCGCAAGGCUGAAACUCAAAAGAAUUGACGGGGACCCGCACAAGCGGUGGAGCAUGUGGUUUAAUUCGAAGCAACGCGAAGAACCUUACCAGGUCUUGACAUCCUUUCGACCUCCCUAGAGAUAGGGAUUUCCCUUCGGGGACGAAAGUGACAGGUGGUGCAUGGUUGUCGUCAGCUCGUGUCGUGAGAUGUUGGGUUAAGUCCCGCAACGAGCGCAACCCUUGAUCUUAGUUGCCAGCAUUAAGUUGGGCACUCUAAGGUGACUGCCGGUGACAAACCGGAGGAAGGUGGGGAUGACGUCAAAUCAUCAUGCCCCUUAUGACCUGGGCUACACACGUGCUACAAUGGAUGGUACAAAGGGCAGCGAAACCGCAAGGUCAAGCAAAUCCCAUAAAACCAUUCUCAGUUCGGAUUGUAGGCUGCAAUCGCCUACAUGAAGCCGGAAUCGCUAGUAAUCGCGGAUCAGCCAUGCCGCGGGUGAAUACGUUCCCGGGUUCUUGUACAAACAACCCCCCCCUCC
rnacentral:rRNA from 1 species